CAUGGAGCAGUAAGAGAACCUGCGUGGGAUAAAUUCUCACAGGGGAGGAUGCUGGGUCUGAUUUUCUGUUGUCUCACAACCUUCUGUAGCUGCUGGUUCAGUGCAAAAAUGAUGAGGAAUACUGAAUGAACAAUUCCCACUGGGGCAGGGGAACAGCAGCACUCAGAAGAAAGCUCAGGUGGGAGUUGCAGUCCUUCCAUGCAAAUGCCUCCUUCCUUUGGAUAUCUGAGAUCUGGCAGAGAAUGAAGGAGAGGAGAUACUGAAUCCAUGAUGCCACCAAAGACAACAGCUGGCUGGCCACUGUUUAAAGAAACAGUGCCUUGCAUCAUGAAACUGAAGGCAGGUAUUGGGUCCCGAUCCCCUGGAAUAGCUGCUAUGGCAUUGCUGGAGGUCUAUAAUGUUGCUGGAGGUCCUGUUAUGGUGUGGAUCCCACUCUUCCUGAGAAGCCUGGUGCUAAGGAUGGAGGUUGGUCAGCUCCAGUUCCUUCAGCCAUUUUGUCCCAUUCUGAGGGUUGUUGCCCAGUGGAAGUGUUUCUGGGAAGUGAGAGAUGUAUCCUUCACGUCUGGGAGAUUCUUUGGCAGAAAUCUUCCUGUCUUCAGGAAGCUUCAAAUGCUGCAGUUCUGAAUGGGGUUCCCUGUUUGUUGCCAACUGGACUAAAGGAGAUGAAUUCAUACUGAAACCAAAACUGGGGAGGCCUGGAUGUACCUGAUCAAUGACUUGUCUCUGGGAGUAGGACAGGGCUAUGAGGCUGAACAUCUGGGCAAGGCAGCAGGGUGGGGAGCAGUACGUGGAAUGUGGACAGCUCAGAUCCCAAAGGAAGGUGCAGCCCAAUGGUAAAAGAGACAGCUGGUCACCUGUAGGGGAAAUAAUGCAACACAGCUCAAUGCCAUGCACUGCAGAUUUUGUCAAGAACAUAAAGAAACCUGGCGCUUUAUUUUUAUUUUUGAAGUGGAAGUGGUUCACAAGGUAUACCAGGGAGAUGAUUCAGUGCUUA